AUGGAGAAGUUAUUUUAAAUAAGAUUUUUGUCCCAUGGAAUUGGCCCCUUUGUUAUUGUAUAUCCUUCAGGUUUAUGGGACAGCACUAGAGGAAAGUGAUAGCCUCAGAGGACCUUCAGAUGGUGUCCUGGGUAGCUGAACUGUGGAAAGCAAAACCGUGGAUAAGGGGGAACUACUAUAUUGAAAAAUGUGCAAAAUAGAGAAGAUUUCAUUGAAGAAGUCUGCUGUUUUUGGAAUGGGAAAUUAAGAUAAAAAUUGAAGCUCUCAUCUUCUAUAACAUCAUGGGUACUUUUGAGGCAUAACUGGAACAGUUAUCUACUGUGAUUCUUGCUGGGACCAAUAACCUUCUACAAAUACCAGCAUCAGCUCCCAUGAAAGGCAAAGAGCUGACAAGUAUAUGGACUGCACCUCCACAUUAAGCUACCAGGAGAAACUUCCAAGUUACCCUCUUGUCACCUAUGCCCCAAAGGUGAACACUGUAAACUGCUACAGCAUGCAAUUUAGGUAAGUAUUCAGGUAACAACAGUGCCAAUGAUGAAAAAGAUAAUGACUUUUCAUUGUCUGCAAUCUUUCAUUUGGGCGAACUUAAAAGGAUUUUUUUAAUAAGGAAAAUAAUCUUUCCUGAAAUGUAGUCAAUUCUAUGAUUAGGAAUUAGAACAUUUUUUUAAGUUGAGAUAGAAUUCACAUACCAUAAAAUUCACCCUUUAAAUGUACAAUUCAGUGGUGUACAUAACAUUAUAAAGUUAGAUCAUUUUAAACAGGUCUGGCACACAGUAGCCAUGUCAUACAUAUUAGGCUCCUUUCAUUACAUCAAUACAUUUUGAGCCUGAAAUAAAUGAAAUGACACAGGAGAUAUCUGGGGUGGUUUUGUUCGGCCACGACCCCCGUGGUAUGCUGAAGCCCUCUCAAGAGAGCCAGUGGUCUGCAUCUCUUUGCAACUCUGUGUUGACUGAUGCCAUGUAACUAGCUUGAAAUGGGCCACGAUGGGAAUAUUUAUGUCAUGGAAACUUACCAAUGCCACAAAAUCAGAGCUUUUUUAUUGUUUGAGAGCUGAUUGUUAAACUUUUACCAUCACAUCACUGCUAGUGUAUAUCAAUUUCUUCAAGAGUACAAUUUAUUAUUAUUCAGGGCCACAUUCGGAGCCUCAUCUCUUUGUCAUGACCAACAAAUUUAAAUCCUCAUCAACUGGAAAGAGGAAACUUCAACUGGAUAAAUACUGUAUUCAUAACUAGUGUGUUAAUUCUAUAUUACUUUUUGGGGAAUGGUUUUAAAGAAAUUUUUAUUGUGGUAAAAAACACGUAACAUGAAAUUUACUGUCUUAACCAUUUUUAAGUAUACAGUUCAAUAGUGUUAAGUGUGACUUAUUAAUUUUUUUGUCAUCCAUAGCAUGGCUUGUACUAUAGAGGAUGGGUUUCAUUAUGAAAUGUCCGAAUGGGUUUUGAAAUUUCAUUUGUAAUGAGGUAGUUAAAUUUUAUUCUGGUCGGGCUCAUGCUCUCACAGUUAGUUUUUGGCCGAUUUACUUCUGGCUAGUCUUUCAGAAUAUCUUAAAACCAACUUUAUAUUAAGAGGACGAGCUUUAGGGAAUUUGGUAGCCAGGCAUCCUGGACCUCCUUCCUAGAACAUUGCAGUUAUGUGAUGCAGCUUGAAUGACCCCUGACAUCUCUCUGAUUCUCAGGUUCAAAUUCCAGAUUCCUAGGAAAGUACUGUGAUUCACCAAGCUUGGGCCCGGAAGACACAGCUGCAUUGUUCUUAUGCUUCCUCCCACAGUGAUGGUUUUGAAGGACGUGCUGGUAGGGGCAGAGUUCAGGACCUGUUACUUCAUAUUAGAGAGACGCUGGGCAGUUAAAGCAUCCAGUGUCUAGUAGGAAUGAUUUUUAUAUCAGAUGAUAAUAAAUGAUGACUUUAAAGAAAAUAUUUCAUCAAAAUAGUUGGGAUUUAAUUAGGGAUAUUUAGAAUAUUGCAGCAUAAUGUAGAUAAAAAUGGCAUAAAAUUUCUGUAACCUUAAAAAGAGAAAUAACAGAGUAAAUUAACAUAAUUCAUUUGGGACUGUAUCUGGUUAAAAUUUUAGUUGUAUAAUGAUACAACUAAAUUGUACAACUUAGUUGUAUAAUCCUUGGACUUAGAGAGGAACUGUUUUGCCUGACAGUUUCUGGUAUGAUUUAAGCACAAAUACAUGUACUCUCAGACUGUUCAAAUGAGAAAGGUGGUUUCAG